rnacentral:rRNA from 1 species
AUUGAACGCUGGCGGCAGGCCUAACACAUGCAAGUCGAGCGGUAGCACAGAGAGCUUGCUCUCGGGUGACGAGCGGCGGACGGGUGAGUAAUGUCUGGGAAACUGCCUGAUGGAGGGGGAUAACUACUGGAAACGGUAGCUAAUACCGCAUAACGUCGCAAGACCAAAGUGGGGGACCUUCGGGCCUCAUGCCAUCAGAUGUGCCCAGAUGGGAUUAGCUGGUAGGUGGGGUAACGGCUCACCUAGGCGACGAUCCCUAGCUGGUCUGAGAGGAUGAACAGCCACGCUGGAACUGAGACACAGGCCAGACUCCUACGGGAGGCAGCAGUGGGGAAUAUUGCACAAUGGGCGCAAGCCUGAUGCAGCCAUGCCGCGUGUGUGAAGAAGGCCUUCGGGUUGUAAAGCACUUUCAGCGGGGAGGAAGGCGAUGAGGUUAAUAUCCUCAUCGAUUGACGUUACCCGCAGAAGAAGCACCGGCUAACUCCGUGCCAGCAGCCGCAGUAACAC